UACGUAGGGUGCAAGCGUUAAUCGGAAUUACUGGGCGUAAAGCGUGCGCAGGCGGUUGUGCAAGACAGAUGUGAAAUCCCCGGGCUUAACCUGGGAACUGCAUUUGUGACUGGCAGGCUAGAGUAUGGCAGAGGGGGGUAGAAUUCCACGUGUAGCAGUGAAAUGCGUAGAGAUGUGGAGGAAUACCGAUGGCGAAGGCAGCCCCCUGGGCCAAUACUGACGCUCAUGCACGAAAGCGUGGGGAGCAAACAGG
rnacentral:rRNA from 1 species